rnacentral:tRNA from 1 species
GGGGCUGUGGCUCAGAGGAAGAGCAUCUGCUUGGUGUGCCGAAGGUCUUAGGUUCAAUCCCAGGCAUCUCCA